UCUUAAGCAAGGGUCACUGUUUAUUUGCUCGCUCACCACUCGCUGACGCUCAUGUACAACAGGCACACAUCUGGACCUCCACAGGCGGAUCUCAGCAAAUACAGGUGACUCAACAUGCUCUGGCGUACACAGCACGGAAUGCUCGCCCCGGGUAGGAAGGAGGAAACUCUGACAGGAGUGCUGGGGUGUCACAGCCAGCAGUAGGUGGGUUGCACGUGGCAGGAAGAUGGAGAACACAGAGCUCUUCACUUCGUAACAGAUGGAGCAUCGCCAGUCUGUGGUGCUCUGGGACCAGUACUGCCCCCUUCCUGAAGAAACCUGGGGCAUUUCCAGCUCACUCAGAAGCCACCUGCAUCCUGCAGUCCAGCCUCCUCCUUCUUGUCCACUAGAUGGUACUGAGGCCCACCAAGCCUGAUUUUAAUGCUUCAGAAAUGGAUAGUGUCCGUCCUUUAUUCUUCAUACUUGGAGUUUUUAUGGUUCCAUCAUCUACGUUAACUUGAGACUCCAACCCAACUGGUUAACCCAGCUA